CGAAAUAGCUCAAUUGGUAGAGCAACUGACUUGUAAUCAGUAGGUUACGGGUCCAAUUCCUGUUUUCGGC
rnacentral:tRNA from 1 species